AAAAAACGGUUUCUCUUCAGAUCAUAUUAAACUUUUACCUUUUACUAAAUAUUUCCUUGGAGAGGAACGUAUUUUCACAAUUAUCUUUAUAGUAGCCUUGUUAGGUAGGCCAG